rnacentral:lncRNA from 1 species
AGAUAUUCAAGUUUAAAUCAAUAUAAGAUCAUAGUCCCAUUUUCAAUAGCUAAGCAUAAUUUUUAAAAUUCCUUUUAUAUAAUUAUAAAAUAAAUUAUAUUUGUAAAUCUCCCCCAGACUUAAACUACACUUUCCCAGUGUUACUCAGUCGGAGUUAUGAUGGAAUAAUUCAUAAGUACGAAAUGUAACAAGUAAGGAAGAUACAUCUGACCGGAUUAGAUAUCGAUCGAUGUGAAAAUGUUGCAUCGAUCGUCGUGUGUUUGUCUAUGUCGAGCGAUGUCGACAUCUCGUCGGCGGUCGAUAUUCAGGUCCUCCUACUCGGGUCUCCUAAAUCUGAAAGAAAUAAAAAAAAAAUUAAAUAAAUGCUAGCUAAUAAAACCAAAAUAAAAUACCUAAUAGUGGGUUGCCUCCCACUCAACGCUUGGUUAUAGUCAUUUAGCUUGACUGUGGUAGUGAUUGGCUAUUUGGUGGAUAAACAGCUGCUUGUUGGAAAACAAGCAUCCACGUCAUCUCUGCACAUUCUGGACCAAGAUGCAAUGAAAC